GACGAACGCUGGCGGCGUGCUUAACACAUGCAAGUCGAACGGAAAGGCCCUGCUUGCAGGGUACUCGAGUGGCGAACGGGUGAGUAACACGUGGGUGAUCUGCCCUGCACUUCGGGAUAAGCUUGGGAAACUGGGUCUAAUACCGGAUAGGAGCCAUCUUUAGUGUGGUGGUUGGAAAGUUUUUUCGGUGUAGGAUGAGCUCGCGGCCUAUCAGCUUGUUGGUGGGGUAAUGGCCUACCAAGGCGGCGACGGGUAGCCGGCCUGAGAGGGUGUACGGCCACAUUGGGACUGAGAUACGGCCCAGACUCCGACGGGAGGCAGCAGUGGGGAAUAUUGCACAAUGGGCGCAAGCCUGAGGCAGCGACGCCGCGUGGGGGAUGAAGGCCUUCGGGUUGUAAACUCCUUUCGCUAGGGACGAAGCGUUUUUGUGACGGUACCUAGAUAAGAAGCACCGGCUAACUACGUG
rnacentral:rRNA from 1 species